AGGUCACCUAGCUUUCGCCUUGGCCCAUAAGUUGCAUAGGACAGUGGGCUGGUCCUGGGGGCUGUUGUGGGGAGGUGGGGAAUUUGAAGAACACCCUGGCUCCCUCCAUCAUGGCCAAGAGGGCAGAACUGAAGAAGACAAACCUGAACAAGAACUACAAGGCAGUUUGCCUGGAGUUGAAGCCAGAGCCAACCAGAGCAAGAAGUGUUUUUGUGGGCAUGCCAGGAGCCAGGCCUGAGAUCCAUGGGGAGACAUAUGACUACAAAGAAGUUAAACACAAAGGGCCAUUCACCAAAACAGGAAUGACACAGGAGCUAAAGAAUGAACUCAGGGAGGUGAGAGAAGAACUCAAGGAAAAAAUGGAGGAGAUAAAACAGAUAAAAGAUAUAAUGGACAAAGAUUUUGAUAAGCUUCAUGAAUUUGUGGAAAUUAUGAAGGAAAUGCAGAAGGAUAUGGAUGAGAAGAUGGACAUUUUACUAAAUAUACAGAAGGACAACAAACUAGGAUCAAAGGAGCAGCAGCCCCUCAGGCUGGUGGGAAGAGCUGACACAGACCCACAGCUCCAGCUCAAGAAAAUGGACAGAGCUAAUAGAGCACCCUGGCCUCUUCACAAAAAGACAAUGGCAUCACCAAAAGCAAAAAAGGACUCACCGGAUUCCCUUCAUCAGUGUAGCAGCUGCUGUCAAGGCUUGAUGAGGUGCCCGGCAGGUUGGCCACCUUGGACCAAGGAAAAAUGAUCUUUCUUGCACCAUUUCUGUCCUCUGCAGGAGAAACGUACAUUGUGUGCCUUAAAGACCAACUACAAUCAGGGCAGGAAACUUCCACACCAGGCCUAGGAAUCGUUUUCACCCUUGGCAUCUGGAGCUGCCUUCUGAUGUAUCUGUGCCUCUUCCCCGAUGAGAUGGAGUAUGUGCUUCCAACCUAGUGCAGCCGCAGAAUCUACCAGCAGCUCUGGUUCAUCUUCUCCCCACUCCUUGAGCUGUACAAGCAUUUGCUACCCUCUUUAACACCAUUCCUACCCAGGCCUCCACCCUGAGAUGAAAAAUCUUCAUUUAAAGCCAAAAGAAGUGUCCUCAUUUGAAUACUCGCCCCAAAUUGGGAUGUGCAGAGUGUUAGUAGUUUUGUCCUAAAUUAGCGUAUUUCCGAUUCCAAUACCUCUUCCAGUCCUGAAAAAUUGGUCAGAAGGGACAUCUUAGGAUCACAGGGCUCCCGCACUCUGCCUCCCUCCAUUCCACAUGGUUCAUAAAUGUCCCAGGAUACACCCCACUGCUCUACCCUCUAUGCCUCACCUCCUCCGAUCCUGCACUCUGCACGGGGCCUGGGCCUCACAGGUGACUCAAGGAACAUCCAGGCCUUGGUCUGACCUGCAGUGCUCCCCUCUGGUCUUAUCUUCAAGCAGCACCCAGAUCUCUGCUGCUCAUGGG